GCACCCAUCACCAGCACCGUGCUCCAUCACCACCGCCGUCACUCGGUUCCACUUUUGGAGACAACCCUCUCACCUCCCUUUAUCUCUGUCGUGGUCUCUCUCUCCCUCCUGUAGCCGCUUCCGCACUUCCCAUAGCACUCAUUCUCCGAUAAGCCCUCCCUUCGACAACUCCCACUUUUAAAAUGGUUUGGGAAGAAAAGAAUUAGUUGUGGGUUAAAAAAUGGCAUGGGACAGCCUAUAAUAAGACUAAGGGCACCUUAAUAAUUUUCUUGGGUCACCAUAUAAUUAUGUUCGGAUCGGGCUCGUAUAAGCACACUAGCCAUCGAAGGUUUUACAAGCCACAGGUUCGGAUGAGUAAUUCGUAUGCCUGGUAAUUUUAUGAUCACAUUUUAAAGAUACAAGUUAAGCUGGUCCUUCAAUGACGAUUGUAUUGACGUUUGGGGUUCGAGUUGCUCUAUAGUGAAGAAUUCAAUAAUUUGCAACUUGCACGAUAGUUGAUUCGAUAGUGCCAGAAGCUUGGGGCCUACAAUUGUUGUACUUUAAAGCCGUUAGGCGAAGUUGUAUUUGGUAUGCACGAUAGACAGCUCUUAUUAUAAUAUUUUAUUAUUUGAUUUUCA